rnacentral:lncRNA from 1 species
AAAGAGAGAGGAGACGUCGGGUCCUGCGGAUGCCUGCAAGGCUACCUCGGUGUCUCGAUGAUCAAAAGCUAACAUCCGCACUACUGUUGUUGCUGUCCAAAACAUGUAUCUGCGCAAAAAGAGCGCAGAGUGUAGCAUCAGCACAAUCGACCCCAUGUGCUGGUAAGUGCCCGGCCUAUCCCGACGAAGUAGUGACAAGGCUAGGACCAGACACUCACAAGAACCUGUACAGUUUAAAAUAUAUAUGUACAACAAAACCAUGUGAAACAAUAUUUAAUAUUUGGGAAGGAAAAAAAUGCUCUGGGGUAAUAACAAAAUAUAAUAAUAGUUGAAGAAUAAAUGAACUUCAAUUAAUGAGGACGAGUAAAUCAAAAUCUGCACGGCACCAACCAUCGUGCUUUUACUCUCGUUAUCACCAAAUAAUCAAUCAAGAUGUACUACAUCACCAAUCGUACUUUUACUCUCGUUCUCAACAAAUAAUCAAUCAAGAUGUACAGCAUCAUCCAUCGUACUUUUACUCUCGUUCUCACCAAAUAAUCAACCAAGAUGUAUGGCAUCACCCAUCGUACUUUUACUCGCACACUCUCAUAUCAAGGCACGGAAAUACCCAUCGUGCAUAAUCACUCUUCCUUGUCGCCGACAACUUUGGACAAUAACAAUAAUCAUUGUAAUAUAGAUAUAUAUAUAUAUUCGUACCCGGCCCUCUAGUGAGGGACUCAGUGAUUAUUUAUAUGUAUAUAUAUAUAUAUAUAUUACCGGUAUGAAACCAAUAAUCCAUUAAAUCAACAAUAUAAAUAUUACCGAUAUGAAACCAAUAAUCUUUUAAAUCCGCAAUAUAAAUAUUACCGGUAUGAAACCAAUAUAUAUAUAUAUAUAUAUGUCCACAUCUCUUCAAAUCUUGACACCUAAUCCAAUAUAAAUAUUACCGGUAUGAAACCAAUAAUCUUUCCUUUCAUAUAAUCACAUAAGAUUAUUAUAAGUUUAAUCAAUUUAAGACUCACGGUAAUGCUCGACCCCCAACGCAUAUAAUCUUUCCUUUCAUAUAAUCACAUAAGAUUAUUAUAAGUUUAAUCAAUUUAAGACUCACGGUAAUGCUCGACCCACAACGUAUAAAUACUCGUCACCGUGCCUAUACAUCGGACUCUGCACAUUAACAACUAGCAAAUAGACUCACUCCUAUUCCCUCAAGCUAGGAUAGAUCAAACACUUACCUCGAAGGUUUACAGCAAAAUCAAUCCUUAAGCAAUGCCCUUUCCUUUCGAAUUUGGCUCCAAUUCAAUUGUAUCUAUACAUGAUUAAUUUAAUAUCAUCAAUACUACUCACCAAAAUAUUCCAAAUGGCUAAAUAUAUUUUCUAAAACAUUUUGUCCAAAAAUCACACAAAUAUUGAUGAAGCUCGAUUUCUAAAAGACGGGGUUUUAGCCAUAUAUAUCUUAAAUUCGCCCCUUAAUUCCAAAAAUCACACAAACAUUGAUGAAGCUCGAUUUCUAAAAGAUGGGGUUUUAGCCAUAAAUAUCUGAAAUUCGCCCUUAAUGAUACUACGAUGAUCCAAUAUAGUUAUGUAACUUCAAUCCACAAUACCACAUUCAAUAGGGCCUAUAUUGGUAAAAAAAUUCCAUAACUUAUGCCAUUUAGGUAUUAUCAAAUACCUUGUAUGCAUAGAUAUUUACACCUCAUAACUAUAUAAUCGGUUCCUCCAACUAUCACCAUUAACCAACAAUUCAUCCUACUACUAUUUUUAACAAUUUAUACUCUUAACAUCGCAUGUGUGAUCAACCAUUCACACCCAAACUAAUAAAAAUUUCAUCAAAUAAAUACCUUUAAAUUCCUAUCAUGUUCAUGUAUUUAAAUUGGGAAUUUAUGGCUUCCAACCGCCAUACUAUAAGUUGUAAUACAUGAUUCAUAAUCAUAUUCCCAUAAUAUAUCCAUAUAUAUAAAUCUAAGGUGUAGGAUUUACCUUUUGGAAGAAGAUCUUACAAAACCCUUCUUUGGGUUCUUGAAGGAAUUUCUCAAAAAAUCUAAGUGUUUCUGGAAGAAGGUCUUACAAAACCCUUCUUUGGGUUCUUGAAGGAAUUUCUUGAAAAAUCUAAGUCUUUAUACAAAGAUUUCAUCAAUAUUAGUGUAUAAAUGAAGGAAUUUCACACCAAGAUGAUGGAGAUUACUUACCUUGAAGAUUGGGGGAGUUGAAGCUCUUGAGAGGGUGAAGAAACCCCAAAAUUUUCGAGCUUGGAUGACAAAAAAAUGAAGGAAAGAUGAUACCCCUUCGGUUUUUACACAAACCAGGGGUGUUUUAGAGAUGUUUCAGAGACUAGUCAGGUUGUAGCUCACACAACUCCUUAUAUAACCGGAGAUAUGAUCAUCUAAAGUGAGGUCUUGUGCACACUCAUUUUCAAUUCCGCCUAUUAUGAUAUUUUCUAACUUCAAAAGUUCUCGUUAGCCAUCCGAAAUCAUCCCGAAGCCCCCAGGACCUCAACCAAAAAUACCAAUACAUCAUAUAAUUUUAUUCAAAUUUGUUCCAAGUAUCAAAACACCUCGACUAAUACCAAAAUCAUCGAAUUACGUCGAGUUCAAGUCUAAGUUCCUUUAAAACUUCCAAAACGCGCAUUCGAUCAAAAACCCGACCAAACCACGUCCGAAUAACUUGAAAUUUUGCAUACACAUCACAAAUUAUCAAAUGAAGAUACGACAGCUUCCGGAACUUCAUUUUGACCCUUGGAUCAAAUUUUAACCUAUCAACCGGAAAGUGUCAAAAUACUAACUUCGCCAAUUCAAGCUUAAUUCUGCAUUGGUCAUCACAAAAAUAUUCCGGACACAUUUCUAUGUCCAAAAUCAUCUCCCAAAGAUAACCGAACCAUCGGAAUUCAUAUCUGAUCCCUCUAACUCAUAAGUCAAUGCUUGGUUGACUUUUCCAACUUAUGCCUUCUUAAAAGAGACUAAGUGUCUCAUUUCUUAUCAAAAUCACUCCAAUUCAAUUCUAACGCACCUGAUACCGUUAAUAAAACAUAAUGAAGUAGUAGGGGAACGAGGUGUAAAUUCUAAAAAUGACCAGCCUGGUCGUUAUAUUCUCCCACACUUAAACAUUAGUUCUUCUUCGAACGAGCAUAAGGAACAUACCUGGAAUAGUGAAAAGAUGAAGGUAUCGGCUGCGCAUAUCCCGCUUGAUCUUUCAAUUCGCCUCCUCGGCCGGAUGGCCCCGCCAUUGUACCUUUAUUUAAUAUAUUCCCUUUGGCCUGAGCUUUUCGAACCUGUUUGUCCAAUAUUUCCUCUGGCUCCUCAACAUAGGACAGAUCCUUGUCCAACUUUACUGAGCUGAAAUCCAACACGUGCGAUGGGGCACCGUGAUGCCUCCGAAGCAUUAAGGCAUGAAGUACCGGAUGAACUCAUGCUAAGCUGGGAGGUAAGGCAAGCUCUUAAGGACAUCCCCAACAUGCCUUAAUAUUCCAAAAGGUCCAAUAAACCUUAUACUCAACUUCUCUUUCUUCCCAAAUCUCAUAAUUCCCUUUACAGGGGUCAAAACCUUCUCUCCAUCCAUAGCAGAACCACCACAAACUUUUCGGUCCGCAUAACUACGAGAUUAUAUAGAGUAAAUCCUGAAUCACUUUAAAAUUUUCCAAAGCAUUCUAAAUCAAGUUAGUGCCCAAUAAUCCAACCUCACCAGGCUCGUACCAAUCCACCGGGUCUCUGGUGCUCAUAAUUAACCUGCUCACAGUUGAGGCACCGAGAUACAACCUGACUAGGUUCUAAAAGAUCCAACCUCACAAAUGGAUGGAUAAGGCAUGAACAUUCAUCGCCAUAGGUCUCUUUGAAACUGCUAGGUAAGCCAUUCUAAAAAGAUCUAACCUCACAAAUGGAUGUAUAAGGCAUGAACAUCCAUCACCAUAUGCCUCUUUGACACUGCUAGGUAAGCCAAACUUCCCAAACUCUUUGCCCAGCGACUCAAAGCAUCAACUACUACAUUGGCUUUGCCCAGGUGAUAUAGAUUAGUGAUAUCAUAAUAUUUUUGGAACUCUAACCACAUCCCCUGGCAUAAAUUUUUAGAUCAUUUUGCUUGAAUAUGUGCUACAAGCUCAGACGAUCAAUAUAAAUCUCAAAAGGCACAUCGUACAAAUAAUGAUGCCAAACAUUUAAGGUAUGAACAAUAGCAGUUAACUCAAGAUCGUGGAUAGGAUAAUUUUCCUCAUGUACCUUCAACUAUUUGGAUGCGUAAGCAAUCACCCUAUCGUCAUGCAUCAAAAACACUCCAAGGCCAACCCGUGAAGUAUCACAAUACACCAUAUAAGACCCUGAACCAGUAGGCAAUAUCAAAAUUGGGGUCAUGGUCAAAGUUGUCUUGAGCUUUUGAAAGCUCUAUGCACCACAUGAACAAAAACUGAUGGGUCAUUGGUAAGCCCAAAUGGCAUACAAGAGACUCGCAAUGAUCAUACGAAGUAUUGAAAGCAGUCUACGGGAUAUCUGGCUCCCAAACCUUCGACUGAUGGUAACCUGAGCACAAAUCAAUCUUAUAAAACACUUAUGUGCCCUUAAGCUAGUCAAACAGAUCAUCAAAAAAAGAGGCAAGGAUAACGGUUCUUCAGUGUAGCCUUAUUCAACUAGCGGUAAUCAAUACGCGCUAGUCAAACAGAUCAUCAAAAAAAGAGGCAAGGAUAACGGUUCUUCAGUGUAGCUUUAUUCAACUAGCGGUAAUCAAUACGCAUACGCAUAGAACCAUCCUUUUUCUUCACAAAUAACACAGGAGAAUCCCAAGUGAUACACUAGGCCGAAUAAAACCUUUAUAAGGAUAUUCCUAUAACGGAUUCUUCAACUUAACUGAAGAUUUCACCUCAUCCUUAGUCCAUAACCUAAGGAGAAGACCCAAACUUCAACAUAAAUAACAUUCAUCAUAGGGCCUGAAUUCCACAUUGACACACUGCAUUAGUCUUAUUUCUACAUACUUCAACUUUUAAUAGCACUUAUUAGUUUGAAAUUGUUUUCUUCGCGAUGUUACACUCGCCCCCACUUAGGGUCAUUCAUCCUCAAGUACACGACGUAGCUUAUCUCUUUCUUUGCACGUCUUAAUGUCUCAAAUUUUUGUUUUAACUCCCAAAAUUUUCAGAAAUUUUGGCAGAGCCUCCCCUGUUAUUAGGCAUAUCCACCUGCCAGAGUAACACCAAAACAACUCCUAACAACAUAUCCACAACCCAAUGAAAUACCAAAAUGUCAAUAUAAAUAAUACUAAUCUUUGCAUUACAAGCAUCAUAUUAUCAUAAUGAUAUCUGGACAUGAAAUACGUCAUCAGCAUGCCUAUAACCUCGUCUCUGGCCAUAAUAGUUGUUCAUAAAUGACAAUAUUGCCAAUUAACCUAAUGUUAACAAACAUCUCAUUUCAUACCCCCGCUUUACUCAUUACGAGGCAUGAAGAUCUCAUAAUUACUUACCCGAACUAACGAGUCACAUUUAACGCCACCUGGGUGCCCAUCUCGUAGGCUAAAACUCAAUGUUUACAACACAAAAAUGACUAAAUAUGAAAAGAAAAUAUACAAGAAUUAUCAAAUAAGCCUAUGGCUCUCAUUUUUACAAUAUAGCACAAAAUUUUAAAUUUCAUGAAAUGAGAAUUUUAAACAUAUAAACUUUUCACCGCCAGGACCUUGUUCUUAUAUAAAAUCCAAUGCAGCUUCUGGCUCGGUUCAAAAUAUUUCACAUUAUAUAAAUGUUUGAGGAUAUCACCCUCAGCUCUCAAUCACAUGUAUUUUCACAUUUUGCCAACUCAAAUUUUUUUCAUUUCCUUUCUUUCUCUCUUCAGUAAUUUCUGUCAAAGAGAAUCACAACAUAUAAUGAACCCUCAUACUGAUAGGGCAUAUAAUUUGAAAAUUAAAAUCAAUUAUCCUGAAGUUACAUAAAACCCCAUUGUAGUAAGUAAUAAAAAUUCACUUUUAUUCUUAUAGAUAUUUUUAGUGACCAACACAUAAUGGUAGACAUAAUUAUCUCCAUAUAACUUCCCAACAUGAGUAUUCACAUAAGCAGAUUUUUUUAGAAUGAAGUUCGCUCAUAAGUGGAGUGCAAUAGGAGGACUUGCCUUGAUACUCGGAAUGAAUCAAGUUAACAAAAUUGAUACUCUACAAUAAUUCGAGACCGUACUUGUAACAACACCAUCCGAUGUUGCGACCUCAGCCAUACCAUAGAAAUUAUAUUAAUAGUUGGGUCUCCACCUCUAGGAGUCUCACCUCCACCUCUAGCAUCCUGACUCUUACCCUCUGGCUGGUUAGGUAAGCUAAGUAUUGACUGCAAUGGGGCACGUAGCCUAUGUGCUUUCAUAAAUUAUACUCCUCAAAUCUACAACAUUCACGACAAUUCCCUUGAGGCUCAGCUAGCUUAUUGAACCUGAUGACGUAUUUGGACACCGUCAUGGUGACCUGGCACAAUCUUCAGAUCACAUAUACCAUAUAUUGCACAGAAUUCGGGAAGUAACCUCCUUCAAAACAUUUCUCAGAAUAGAGUUGAGAAGGUAGUAUUACAUUGGCCAGUCUGCCCUCUUCGUAGGCUUGUCACAAAAACCGACGGCCAAUUUUCUCUUUUGCUAUGCUGACUUGACAUUGCUGAACUACCCCAUUUAUUCAUAUACUCUUCAUUAUUCUUUGUGGGCGAUUCUUACCCUGCAGAGUAUCAAACCUUAAAUAUGUAUAAAUUAUUUUGGGAAACCUUUCCGUACCAUAUAUAUACAUUCAAAGUCAAAGCUUACAUAACACAUGGCCAUACAGUCCAUUCACUAAUAGUGGAAUUCACCAUUUGUCGCUAAGACAAAGUCACAACAUCCAAUAAUCCACAAUAUUAGUCCUACACGAUUCAAAUAUAUAUGUGGAAAAUUGUGACUCGGUUUGAUCCGAGGGAUGAAAUUAUACUAUAUUGGCGAUUGCUUCGCACCCUAUAUUAAUGUUAUAUGGGCUUGAUGCCACGUUUGGGGCCUUGUGCCGACCUGUAGGAUCCUUUAAGGAUUGAUAUUUCAGAGUUUGCAUGAUUUGCGUACUAUUUGAAUUCGGUCCAGGGUUUUUAACACUGUUUUUUGUAAACUCAACCAAAAUUCUAUGUUUUGGAAACACAAAUGAUUCUUAAAUGAUAUUUCGGGAUGGCGAUCAUUAUCUCACUAUUUUCUGGACUGUAUAUUAUUUCUUCGAAACGGUGGUAACUAUUGGCACCAUGUGUAUUGAAAUGGAAACGGUGGUAAUUAUUGCCACCGUGUGUAGUGAAAUGGAAACGGUGGUAACUAUUGGCACCAUGUGUUGAAAUGGAAAUAAUGGUAACUAUUGGCACUGUAUGAUAUUGCGCUUGGGCUGAAGGAGCCCCUCCGGAGUCUGAACCCCCACAGUGAGCUCCUUCGAUGUUAAAUCAUAUGCAUGGUUGGCUCGGGCUGCACGCCGAAGCGUAUUCAGGUGCAUUAAAUUGCAUUCAUGCAUUUACUCCUGUUUGUACUACGUAGCAUGACAUUUAGCAAUCAUAUAUCGUUGGCAUACAUACGGUUACUUGCCUUGUUGACCAGAUACCCUGGAGUUAUCGACGUUAAAACAUAUGCAUGGUUGGCUCGGGCUGCACGCCGCAGUGUAUUCAUGUGCAUUGCAUUGCAUACAUGCAUUUACUCCUGUUUGUACUACAUGGCACGAUAUUUAGCACUCAUAUAUCAUUGGCAUACAUACUGUUACUUGCCUUGUUGACCAGAUACCCUGAUUUUAUAUGUUAAGGAGUGUUGAGCCUGAGAGGCUGAUGUUGGAUAUUGUGAGUUGAUAUUGAGCCCUGAUUUUAUAUGUUAAGGGGCAGGUUUCUGAUUAUUUCUUCCGUGUUGAAAUUACCUUUGCAAUUGUUGAAAAAGCAUAUUUCCAAAAGAAAUUUUUGAACUGAACUUGGGAUUUUCGCAGUAUUUCGGCUUUCUCAAAAAGGGUUGUUCUGUCUUAUAUAGCAGUUUGGUGUGCUCAUACGUGUUUUCUUAUCGCUCAGAUAUUAUUCUCUCUUAUUAUCACUGAGUUGGAAGUACUCACUUUACUCCCUGCACCUUGCAUGCAGUUGCAGGUACUGUUCACCCGAUAGCGGGUUAUUAGCAGGAUCGAAGGCCAUAUUCCGGUAAUUGAGCAAGGUGACCGCCAGCGUUCGCGGCACCGCAUUCCAUAAUAGCGGUUUCAGCAGGACCGAAUGCAUUAUUGUGGUAGUUGAGCAAGGUGGCCACCAGCGUUCGCGGCACCGCACCCCAUCUUUGUAUUCCGGUUCAUCUUGUGUAUAUACACAUUGUUAGUCCAGUAGUAUAGUCCCCACUCAUUAGAUGCUCGUGACUUCUAACACCCCGGUAGGGUUGUAUUAGAAUGAAACCUCAUAGUUAAAUGCUAUUAAGUAGUAUUUCUAUUCUCUUAUGUUUAAUAAUUGCUUAAAGCAGUUUUGGGGUUGUUGGCUGGCCUUGUUUUCACGAGAGGCGCCAUCACGACGGGGUAUAGAAUUUGGGUCGUGACAAAAAAUAAUUGAAUUACUAUUUUGUCUAGGGUAAAAUCUAUUUUUAAAGGGUAAAAAAGGCGAACGACAUUUGAAAUGAAGUAUGAUCAUCUACUUGAGAAAAUUGAUAUGUUAGUCAAAGGUGUCACAAGUUCAUCUACUACAUAAUUCGACAUCACUAAGGGCCUUCGAGCUUUUAAUAUAGUAUAGAUUAUUAUUAAAUAUUGAUCGAAUGUAUAUUAAAGCCAAACUAAUAACUCUAAGUGAACAAGAAAGAAAAAAUCAAAUUAAUACAAUAUCAGUCAGGUUGCAUGAAUUUUUUCAGAGAAAGUCAAAAAUAUUAUUUUCAAAAUCAAUAAUGAUGUUAUUUAUGUCCGGCAAAGCGCAACCAAUUUUACUAAGUAUAUAUGAAGAGAGGGGGGGGGGGGGGGGGGGGAAAAAAAANNNNNNNNNNNNNNNNNNNNNNNNNNNNNNNNNNNNNNNNNNNNNNNNNNNNGGGAAUACAUAAACUUUUAUUUAAAUAUUUUCAGGAAGCGGAUUAGUCCGUGAAUAAUACCUUUGGCUGAAUAAAAAUUUUAUACGAAGGAGGAGCAGACCUGUCAAAAAUGAGGUGAGAAGAAGGCAGAAAAAAGAUGAAAAUUUUUACACAGUAAUUAUUAUAAAAUAGAAAAUCGAUCGCUCGACUGUAACUUCAAUACCUACAAAAACUUCAUUAGACAAGUGAGCCUUGCUCAGUUGGUAAAGCACCUUCACAUACGACCGUUAGGUCUUGGAUUCGAGUCACCAGUGAGGAAAAGUAUGAAAACACUAUAGAUUCUCCUAAUUUGUUAAAGGUUUAAAAAAAUAAAACUCUACUAAAGUGCAAGUUUACACAAAUUAGGAUCUUCUAAUUCUUUGUUGUAUUGAUUAAUCUUCACCUAUAAUUUUUUUCUUUUUUCUAUGAAAAGAGAGGGAAAA